GCUAGCGUGGCAGAGCCCGGCAAAUGCAA
rnacentral:tRNA from 2 species